rnacentral:piRNA from 1 species
UACCAGGGAGCAGGAUGAUGCUGGGAUGGU